UACGUAGGAGGCGAGCGUUGUCCGGAAUCACUGGGCGUAAAGCGCGUGUAGGCGGGGGGGCAAGUCUGCUGUGAAAGCGCCUGGCUUAACCGGGCGAGGUCGGCGGAAACUGCCCGCCUGGAGGGCGGUAGAGGGGGGUGGAAUUCCCGGUGUAGUGGGUGAAAUGCGUAGAGAUCGGGAGGAACACCUGUGGCGAAGGCGGCCCCCUGGGCCGCACCUGACGCUGAGACGCGAAGGCGUGGGGAGCGAACGGG
rnacentral:rRNA from 1 species